rnacentral:rRNA from 1 species
CACGUAGGGUGCGAGCGUUGUCCGGAAUUAUUGGGCGUAAAGAGCUCGUAGGCGGUGUGUCGCGUCGGCCGUGAAAACCUGCAGCUUAACUGUGGGCUUGCGGUCGAUACGGGCAUCACUGGAGUUCGGCAGGGGAGACUGGAAUUCCUGGUGUAGCGGUGAAAUGCGCAGAUAUCAGGAGGAACACCGGUGGCGAAGGCGGGGUCUCUGGGCCGAUACUGACGCUGGAGGAGCGAAAGCCGUG